rnacentral:rRNA from 1 species
UACAGAGGGGGCAAGCGUUAUUCGGAAUUAUUGGGCGUAAAGCGUCCGCAGGUGGCAAUGUAAGUCUGCUGUCAAAGCGUCUGGCUCAACCAGAUAAAGGCAGUGGAAACUACAUAGCUAGAGUAAGGUAGGGGUAGAGGGAAUUCCUGGUGUAGCGGUGAAAUGCGUAGAGAUCAGGAAGAACACCGGUGGCGAAAGCGCUCUGCUGGACCUUAACUGACACUGAGGGACGAAAGCUAGGGGAGCGAAUGGG